ensembl:snRNA U6 U6 spliceosomal RNA
UGCUUCAGCAGCAUAUGCAGUAUACUAAAACUGGAACAAAAAAAGAUUAGCAUGGCCCUGGGCAAGGAUGACAUACAAAUUUGUGACUCAUUCUAUGUUUUU